AUUGAACGCUGGCGGCAUGCCUAACACAUGCAAGUCGAGCGGAGCGGCGGACGGUUGAGUAAUGCCUAGGAAUCUGCCUGGUAGUGGGGGAUAACGUCCGGAAACGGGCGAUAAUACCGCAUACUCUCAGAAGAGCAUAGGCCGGAUUAGCUAGUGGGUGGGGUAAAGGCCUACCAAGGCGACGGUCCGUAACUGGUCUGAGAGGAUGAUCAGUCACACUGGAACUGAGACACGGUCCAGACUCGUACGGGAGGCAGCAGUGGGGAAUAUUGUACAAUGGGCGAAAGCCUGAUCCAGCCAUGCCGCGUGUGUGAAGAAGGUCUUCGGAUUGUAAAGCACUUUAAGUUGGGAGGCGUUACCAACAGAAUAAGCACCGGCUAACUUCGUGCCAGCAGCCGCGGUAAUUC
rnacentral:rRNA from 1 species